rnacentral:snRNA from 1 species
CGUAAUUUUCAAGACCCAAGAC